GAGGUAGUGACAAGAAAUAACAAUACGGGGCUUAAUGUCUUGUAAUUGGAAUGAUGGGAAUUUAAACCUCUUCCAGAGUAUCAAUUGGAGGGCAAGUCUGGUGCCAGCAGCCGCGGUAAUUCCAGCUKCAAUAGCGUAUAUUAAAAUUGUUGCAGUUAAAAAGCUCGUAGUUGAAUUURUGCUGCAUUUCAUUUCUCUUUCUGAGUUUGUUUUUGCGGCUUAUUUCGGUUUGAUUUUUUCUUUCCGGAUGAUUACUUUGAGAAAAUUAGAGUGCUCAAAGCAGGCUUUUGCCUUGAAUAGUUUAGCAUGGAAUAAUAAAGUAGGACUUUGGUUCUAUUUUGUUGGUUUUAGGUACCAAAGUAAUGGUAAUAGGAACAGUUGGGGCAUCGUUUUAACUGUCAGAGGUGAAAA
rnacentral:rRNA from 1 species